UACGUAGGGUGCAAGCGUUUAAUCGGAAUUACUGGGCGUAAAGCGUGCGCAGGCGGUUUUGUAAGUUUGUCGUGAAAUCCCCGGGCUCAACCUGGGAAUUGCGAUGAAGACUGCAAGGCUAGAAUCUGGCAGAGGGGGGUAGAAUUCCACGUGUAGCAGUGAAAUGCGUAGAGAUGUGGAGGAACACCGAUGGCGAAGGCAGCCCCCUGGGUCAAGAUUGACGCUCAUGCACGAAAGGCGUGGGGAGCAAACAGG
rnacentral:rRNA from 1 species